rnacentral:tRNA from 1 species
GCCUGGGUGGCUCAGUCAGUUGAGCAUCUGACUCUUGAUUUCAGCUGGUCAUGAUCUUGUGGUUGUGGGAUUGAGCCCCUCCUCAGGCU